CUAAAAUUAUACAAAGAGCGGAUACAGUAUAAGCAGCAAGAUGGUAACGACAACUGUCCAGGAGCAGCAUGUUAUUCCAACUCCAAGAAACAGACUACGUCACUGAUUCCAACUCCAAGAAACAGACUACUUCACUGCUCCAGCUGUGUUAAAGAUGGCAAUUCCUGCUACCGCACAAGCAAGCCACAUCCCUGAUAAGGAAGGGAACUGCGUCUGAACCAGCUGACCAGCACUAGGAGUCCGUGCUUUCCACUGACUGGAUUCCAGCAGUGUGCACUAUGGAAAAGUGGGGAUAGUUGCAGCACCAACUUUUUUUUCCCAAUCAGUGACUGUGAGGCUCCUGCUAUUCAU